rnacentral:lncRNA from 1 species
AAUUCUGAGACAUAAAUUUGUACUUGACUUCAUUAUUAUUGAAUAAUAAAUGGGCAUCUUUUCAUUCAUAUUGUUUAUGUAUCUAUGAAUCGUCCAAGGAAUUAAUAAGAUGAUACAUGUUCUCAAGAGUGAGAAUUUGAGCCAUGUAUUAUUGGUGAUUUAUUUCUAAAUGCUCAUGAUUAAUGGAUCAUCACGAGGACGGUGAUCGAUCCGAUCAGUGCAUAGAUUGCUUUUCUUAUGGAUGGACGAGACUCGAGUCCACAGUGUAGAGACACUGAAGUGAUAGUGCAGGUGCUUGUUAGAGAACAAGGGUACUGAGCGUGACCAAGACAAUAAGUCACUUGGAUGUCUAUCCACUCGUCAAUGACUUGCUUGAUGUUGCAGUGGUGUGACUGGUCCUUUGACCUGCGGUGCUUCGGCUAUUCACAGCGAGGUUAUUGUAGUUUGACUGCACAUAUACAUGGUCUCUAGUCAUAUGAGUCUUUGUAGUGUAGAUUGGCUGCAGUAGGUUCACUGUAGGAGUAAGGCAUGCACUUACAUGGAAUCUAUCGACCUUGAUAGAAGAGGAGUGAACCUAUGUAAUUUAUUAGACCGAGUUCUAAGACUUUAGCCAGGGCAGUAAUAUACAGUGGAGAAAGAGUUUUCCACUAUCGGACUCAAGUCGAAUAAAUCUAGACAUAUGACAGACGAAGUGAAUGUUGCAUGUUGAUGUGUGUGUAUAUGUGUCUGAGCAAGUAGCGAAUGCCAUAGGAUCUAAAAGAUCCAGAGAUGAGAUAAACCAGAAGUAUUUGUGGCACCUCAGGCUUGGCCAUAUUGGAGAGGACAGAAUGAACAAAAUGGAGAAAGAUGGGCUUCUCGGCCCAUUGACUUCCGAGUCAUAUCCAGUUUGUGAGUCUUGUCUUCAAGGUAGGACAUGGGAGAGGACCAUUUAAAUACUUACCCUGGUACACACUGAUGUGUGUGGCCCAUUUAAUGUGUCAGCCAAGGGUCGUUAUUCGUACUUCAUUACCUUUACUGAUGACUAUUCAUAAUAUGGGUAUGUGUAUCUUAUGAGAUACAAAUAUGAGUCUUUUGACAAGUUCAAAGAAUUCAGAAAUGAAGUAGAAAAACAGACUGGAAAAACCCUUAAAGUUCUUUGAUCAGAUCGAGGAGAAGAAUACCUUAGUGAAAAAUUCCGGAACUAUCUCAAGGAGAAUGGUAUAGUCUCACAAUGGAUGCCUCCGGGUACACCUCAACUCAACGGGGUGUCAGAAAGGAGGAAUCGGACUCUAUUGGAUAUGGUUCGAUCCAUGAUGAGCUUCACAGAUCUGCCUAUGUUUCUUUGGGAAGAUGCCUUAUUAUCCGCAAUUUAUUUACUGAAUAGAGUUUCCUCUAAAUCCGUUCCUACCACACCGUAUAAGAUAUGGCAUGGUAAGAAGCCGAGUCUUGGUCAUCUUAAGAUUUGGGGAUGUCCUGCCCAUGUCAAGCGACAACAGGCGGACAAGUUAGAGUUUAGGACCAUAAGUGCUCGUUUCAUAGGAUAUCCUAAAGAGUCAUUAGGAUACAAUUUUUACGUCUCAGAGGAUCACAAUGUAUUUGUGAGCCGAAAUGCCAUUUUCUUGGAAAAACAGUUUAUCCUUGAUAGAGGCAGUGGGAGGAAAAUUGAGCUCGAAUAGAGAGUCUCUGAAAAGCAACGAGUAAUGGAUCCUAUAGAACCUAUUCACAUAGAGCCAGUACACGUAGUAUCUCCUCCACCUCAUAGAUCUAGUAGGGUCUCCCAUCCUCCUGAUAGAUACUUAGGUAUGCUUAUAGAGAAUACCGAGGAAAUAUUCCUCAUGGGAGAUUCCCAAUACCUACAACGAGGCGAUAUCUGAUAUCGAUUCCGAGAAAUGGCUGGAAGCCAUGAAGUCAGAGAUAGACUCCAUGUAUUCCAACCAAGUUUGGACCUUAGUAAAUCCACCAGAAGGUAUAGUACCUAUUGGANNNNNNNNNNNNNNNNNNNNNNNNNNNNNNNNNNNNNNNNNNNNCACCUGUAGUCAUGCUGAAAUCCAUUCGAACAUUGCUUGCCAUUGCAGCAUUUCAUGAUUAUGAAAUAUGGCAGAUGGAUGUGAAAACUGCUUUCCUGAAUGGAUAUCUUGAUGAAGGUAUUUACAUGGAGCAGCUUUUGGGUUUCACCUCCAGUGAUGGAGAUCACAAGGUCUGCAAGCUGCAAAGGUCCAUCUAUGGACUAAAGCAAGCAUCUCGGAGUUGGAACACUUAUUUCAAUGAUGCGAUCAAAUCGUUUGAUUUCAUCAAAAACGAAGAAGAACCGUGUGUUUACAAGAAAGUUAGUGGGAGGGCUGUCGUGUUCCUCGUACUGUACGUAGACGACAUUCUCCUGAUAGGGAAUGAUAUUCCCAUGCUAACCUCGAUCAAGGUCUGGUUGUCAAAAGAGUUCUCCAUUAAAGACCUUGGGAAAGCAUCCUAUAUUUUGGGGAUUAAGGUCUAUAGAGAUAGAUCUAAAAGGAUACUUGGCCUAUCACAGAAGAUGUACAUAGAGGAGGUACUGAAGAGGUUCAGUAUGGAAAACUCCAAGAGAGGUCUAUUACCCCUUAGGCAUGGGAUUCAUCUCUCCAAGAAGAUGUGCCCCAACACAUCUAAAGAGAUUCAACGCAUGAGCAGGAUUCCUUAUGCUUCGACAAUAAGAAGCCUUAUGUAUGCCAUGCUGUGUACACGACCUGAUAUAGCCCUUGCUGUGAGUGUCACUAGCAGAUAUCAGUCGAAUCCAGGCGAAGAGCACUGGACUGCUGUGAAGAACAUUCUUAAGUACUUAAGAAGAACUAAAGAUUUGUUCUUAGUUUUUGGAGGAUUAUCAGAGUUAAAGACAGAAGGAUACACAGAUUCAGAUUUAAUGACUGAUAUUGAAGAUAGAAAAUCUACUUCUGGAUAUGUGUUCUUGUGCAAUGGUGGUAUGGUAAAUUGGAAAAGUUUCAAACAACCGAUCAUUGCUGAUUCUACCAUGGAAGCUGAGUAUAUCGCCGCCUCUGAAGCUGCAAAAGAAGCCUUCUGGUUCAAGAAAUUCAUUGCAGAGCUAGAUGUAAUGCCAUCAGAUGCCAUCAUACUCUCCUGCGAUAAUAAUGGCGCCAUAGCUCUUGCUAAGGAGCCAAGGUCUCAUCAGAAGUCCAAGCACAUAGAGCGGCGCUUUCACCUCAUACAAGACUACCUCGAAAAGAAAUAUGUCGAGGUGCAGAGAGUAGACUCCGCGGACAACGUGGCGGACCUGCUCACUAAGCAGUUAAAUCAGCAGAAGACUGAAGCCCACCUUGAGAAGAUGGGACUUAGAUAUAUGUCUGAUUGGCUUUAGUGCAAGUGGAAGAUUGUUAAAUGUAUGCCAUAGAAGCCAAUCUGGCGGACACAUUAUUAAUUCUGGGACAUAAAUUUGUACUUGACUUCAUUAUUAUUGAAUAAUAAAUGGGCAUCUUUUCUUUUAUAUUGUUUAUGUGUCUAUGAAUCAUCCAAGGAAUUAAUAAGAUGAUACAUAUUCUCAAGAGUUGAGAAUUUGAGCCUUGUAUUAUUGAUGAUUAAUUUUUAAAUGCUCUGAUCAAUGAAUCAUCACGAGGACGGUGAUCGAUCCGAUCAGUGCACAGAUGGCUUUCCUCAUGGAUGGAUGAGACUCGAGUCCACAGUGUAGGGACACUGAAGUGAUAGUGCAAGUGCUUGUUAAAAAACAAGGGUACUGAGCGUGACCAAGACAAGAAGUCACUUAGAUGUCUAUCCACUCGUCAGUGACUUGCUUGAUGUUGCAGUGGUCUGACUGGUCCUUUGACCUACGGUGCUUCCGCUAUUCACAGUGAGGUUAUUGUAGUUUGACUGCACAUAUACAUAGUCUCUAGUCAUAUGAGUCCUUGUAGUGUAGAUUGGUUGCAGUAGGUUCACUAUAGAAGUAGGGUAUGCACUUACAUGAAAUCUAUCGACCUUGAUAGAAGAGGAGUGAACCUAUGUGAUUUAUUAGACUGAGUUCUAAGACUUUGGCCAGGGCAGUAAUAUAUGGUGGAGAAAGAGUUUUUCACUAUCGGACUUAAGUCGAAUAAAUCUAGACAUAUGACAGACGGCGGGGUUUGACGAGUUAUCCAUGACCUCCGGUCUGUAGGGAUCCACGAUAG